rnacentral:lncRNA from 1 species
AUAUAUAUUUCCAACAUCAUCAUGAAAUAUUUAACAAGCUAGAGAACACAUAGGCUAGCACAAUACAUAGUUUCACAUAGUUCAUCUAUAUAUACAUACAUAAAUUUUACAUUGUUCGUCAAUACAAAUGAAAAAAAACUAAACACUAGAGUCCAUGAAUGCCAGCUUCCAUGAAAUGAAUAAAAUCUACAAAAAAUGGAGUAAUUAAGAAAGUUAGAAGAAGAAGAAGAAGAAAAGACUAACUAAUGCACAACCUUUCGUCAUAUAAAGCUAAGACAUUUUCUACAAGCAUCACUUCUAGGAGUAGAAUCCUAACUACAAGAGCAUCAAGGAGCAAUAGGUCUAUAGGAACCAGAUCAUUUACCAUACAAGCAUCACUUAGACCAUACCAUGUCAAGGAAGGAAACAAAACA